UUUAGAUAAGCACACAUGGUGACACCAGUAGCGUUAUGGUACCUACUGAGCAUGUUCUCAUAAGGAAAACCAGGAUUCAAGAACAAUCUGUACCGAGUCAUCAACAACAUAGCCCCAGGUAAUUUGUUAUUCCAGCUCGGUACCAUCAAUUCUGGUUGAUUAGCAAAAGCUUUAGCCGUUUUAGGCACGCUUGGGUUUGUGGCGAAUUGUAUGUAAGUCUGGUUCCCCGUGGCGUAGUAAAGCCACGCGCCAGCCCACAUAAGUUCGUCGAACAUACUUGUUGAGUUGUAGAAGGCUUGAAUCAUUGGUUGUCCGUCUGAGUAGCGCUUGCGUCUGUUCUUGUUUCUAAAGAAAGGCCAUAGAGUUUCUGCUCCUUUCUUUAGCUUUUUGGCGUAGGUUGGUUUGUCGUUGAAGACGAUUGAGGCGGCAGCUAAGGCGGAGGCGACUUCUGCACCGAGGUCAGUGGCGGUAGUUAAAGAGAUUACAGGACGGUCGUAGGACAUGUCUUCUGGUCUUUGCCAACAGUAGAUAUCAUCUGGUGAUUCUGAGUCUCUUAGUCCUCCACCAACCUACAAGUCAUGGAAACAGGGGUUUGAUCAAAAUGGUUUAGGUUUAGUUUUUUUUGGUGCGCAAGGAAGAAUUGAAAUACAUUAAUUAUAUAGUUAAUAUAAUUGGGAAGUAAUUUUUUUGAUUACAUAGUUUUUUACCUAAGCUGUUUAGCAAACUGACCUAUACUGAAUCAUAUUUUACAGUUUCUAACAGUUUAUAUUAUGUUUCCAAAGUAUCAAAUAUCAAACAAUAUAUAGC
rnacentral:lncRNA from 1 species